rnacentral:rRNA from 1 species
AUUGAACGCUGGCGGCAUGCCUAACACAUGCAAGUCGAACGGAAACGAUGGAAGCUUGCUUCCAGGCGUCGAGUGGCGGACGGGUGAGUAAUACUUAGGAAUCUACCCAGUAGCGGGGGACAACAUUCGGAAACGGAUGCUAAUACCGCAUACGCCCUACGGGGGAAAGCAGGGGAUCUUCGGACCUUGCACUAUUGGAUGAGCCUAAGUCGGAUUAGCUAGUUGGUGAGGUAAAGGCUCACCAAGGCGACGAUCCGUAGCUGGUCUGAGAGGACGAUCAGCCACACUGGGACUGAGACACGGCCCAG